rnacentral:rRNA from 1 species
GAUGAACGCUAGCGGCAGGCGUAAUACAUGCAAGUCGAACGGUAACUGUUGUAGCAAUACGAUAGCAAGAGUGACGUACGGGUGCGUAACACGUAUGCAACCUACCCUUUACAGGCGGAUAGCUCGGGGAAACGCGAAUUCAACCUCGAUAACAUCAUGGUGUGGAAUCACAUGAGGACUAAAACUCCGGUGGUAAAGGAUGGGCUUGCGUCUGAUUAGUUAGUGGGCGGGGUAAAGGCCCACCAAGACGAUGAGCAGUAGGGGACCUGAGAGGGUGAUCCCCCACACUGGCACUGAGAUACGGGCCAGACUCCUACGGGAGGCAGCAGUAAGGAAUAUUGGUCAAUGGAUGCAAGUCUGAACCAGCCAUGCCGCGUGCAGGAGGAAGGCCUUCUGGGUUGUAAACUGCUUUUGCCAGGGGAUAAAAAUCUCAUGCGUGAGAAAAUGAAGGUACCUGGUGAAUAAGCCACGGCUAACUACGUGCCAGCAGCCGCCGUAAGAC